rnacentral:rRNA from 1 species
GGGGCUUCGGCCCUGAGUAGAGUGGCAAACGGGUGAGUAACACGUGGGUGACCUGCCUUCGAGUGGGGGAUAACGUCCCGAAAGGGACGCUAAUACCGCAUGACAUCCUGCUCUUGGACGAGCGGAGAUCAAAGCUGGGGAUCGCAAGACCUGGCGCUUGAAGAGGGGCCCGCGCCUGAUUAGCUAGUUGGUGGGGUAACGGCUCACCAAGGCGACGAUCAGUAUCCGGCCUGAGAGGGCGGACGGACACACUGGGACUGAGACACGGCCCAGACUCCUACGGGAGGCAGCAGUGGGGAAUUGUUCGCAAUGGGCGCAAGCCUGACGACGCAACGCCGCGUGGAGGACGAAGAUCUUCGGGUCGUAAACUCCUGUCGAGCGGGAAGAACGCUUCCCGGGUGAAUAUCCCGGGAAGUUGACGGUACCGCUAAAGGAAGCCCCGGCUAACUCCGUGCCAGCAGCCGCGGUAAUACGGGGGGGGCAAGCGUUGUUCGGAAUUACUGGGCGUAAAGGGCUCGUAGGCGGCCAACUAAGUCGGAUGUGAAAUCCCCAGGCUCAACCUGGGAACUGCAUCCGAUACUGGGUGGCUUGAAUUCGGGAGAGGGAUGCAGAAUUCCAGGUGUAGCGGUGAAAUGCGUAGAUAUCUGGAGGAAUACCGGUGGCGAAGGCGGCAUCCUGGACCGACAUUGACGCUGAGGAGCGAAAGCCAGGGGAGCAAACGGGAUUAGAUACCCCGGUAGUCCUGGCCCUAAACGAUGAAUGCUUGGUGUGACGGGUAUCGAUCCCUGUCGUGCCGAAGCUAACGCAUUAAGCAUUCCGCCU